UACGUAGGGUGCGAGCGUUGUCCGGAAUUAUUGGGCGUAAAGGGCUCGUAGGCGGCUCGUCGCGUCGGCUGUGAAAACCCGCGGCUUAACUGUGGGCUUGCAGCUGAUACGGGCGGGCUAGAGUUCGGUAGGGGAGACUGGAAUUCCUGGUGUAGCGGUGAAAUGCGCAGAUAUCAGGAGGAACACCGGUGGCGAAGGCGGGUCUCUGGGCAGUAACUGACGCUGAGAAGCGAAAGCGUGGGGAGCGAACAGG
rnacentral:rRNA from 1 species